rnacentral:rRNA from 1 species
AUUAAGACGGCUUCGGCCGUGUAUAGAGUGGCGAACGGGUGAGUAACACGUGACCAACCUGCCCCGCGCUCCGGGACAACCGCUGGAAACGGCGGCUAAUACCGGAUACUCCGGGAGGGCCCCAUGGCCCUGCCGGGAAAGCCUUAACGGCGCGGGAUGGGGUCGCGGCCCAUUAGGUAGACGGCGGGGUAACGGCCCACCGUGCCCGCGAUGGGUAGCCGGACUGAGAGGUCGACCGGCC